UGGGGAAUAUUGGACAAUGGGCGAAAGCCUGAUCCAGCAAUGCCGCGUGUGUGAAGAAGGCCUUCGGGUUGUAAAGCACUUUAAGCAGGAAAGAAGUUCAUUGGGUUAAUACCCUGAUGGAUUGACGUUACCUGCAGAAUAAGCACCGGCUAACUCCGUGCCAGCAGCCGCGGUAAUACGGAGGGUGCAAGCGUUAAUCGGAAUUACUGGGCGUAAAGCGCAUGUAGGCGGUUUGAUCAGUCGGAUGUGAAAUCCCCGGGCUUAACUUGGGAACUGCAUUCGAUACUGUCAAGCUAGAGUAGGCUAGAGGAAAGGGGAAUUCCGCGUGUAGCAGUGAAAUGCGUAGAUAUGCGGAGGAACACCAAUGGCGAAGGCACCUUUCUGGGGUCAUACUGACGCU
rnacentral:rRNA from 1 species